GGCGCACGGGUGCGUAACGCGUAUGCAACCUACCUCUUACUGGGGAAUAGCCCGGAGAAAUUCGGAUUAACGCCCCAUAUGCUCGUACGGCCUCAUGGUCGAGCGAGGAAAGCUCCGGCGGUAAGAGAUGGGCAUGCGUCCUAUUAGCUAGUUGGUGAGGUAAUGGCUCACCAAGGCGACGAUAGGUAGGGGGCCUGAGAGGGUGACCCCCCACACUGGUACUGAGACACGGACCAGACUCCUACGGGAGGCAGCAGUGAGGAAUAUUGGGCAAUGGAGGAAACUCUGACCCAGCCAUGCCGCGUGCAGGAAGACGGCCCUAUGGGUUGUAAACUGCUUUUAUACAGGAAUAAACCUAUCUACGUGUAGAUAGCUGAAUGUACCGUACGAAUAAGGAUCGGCUAACUCCGUGCCAGCAGCCGCGGUAAUACGGAGGAUCCAAGCGUUAUCCGGAUUCAUUGGGUUUAAAGGGUCCGUAGGCGGAUUUUUAAGUCAGUGGUGAAAGCCCACAGCUCAACUGUGGAACUGCCAUUGAUACUGGAAGUCUUGAGUUUGGUUGAAGUUGGCGGAAUACGUCAUGUAGCGGUGAAAUGCAUAGAUAUGACGUAGAACACCGAUUGCGAAGGCAGCUUACUAACAUGUAACUGACGCUGAGGGACGAAAGCGUGGGGAGCGAACAGGAUUAGAUACCCUGGUAGUCCACGCCGU
rnacentral:rRNA from 1 species